AGAUUGAUCCUGGCUAGGGAUGAACGCUGGCGGCAGGCUUAAUACAUGCAAGUCGAACGGUAACGACCGGUAGCAAUACUGGGGCGACGAGUGGCGCACGGGUGCGUAACGCGUAUGCAACCUACCCUCAACCGGGGCAUAACGCCGAGAAAUUGGCGCUAAUAUCCCAUGUGUAUAAGGAGCGGCAUCGCUUUCUAUAUAAAGAUCCGUUGGUUAAGGAUGGGCAUGCGUAACAUUAGCUAGUUGGCGGGGUAACGGCCCACCAAGGCGACGAUGUUUAGGGGUUCUGAGAGGAUUCACCCCCACACUGGAACUGAGACACGGUCCAGACUCCUACGGGAGGCAGCAGUAGGGAAUAUUGGGCAAUGGAGGCAACUCUGACCCAGCCAUGCCGCGUGAAGGAAGACGGCCCUAUGGGUUGUAAACUUCUUUUGCCGCAGAGUAACCCGGGGGACGCGUCCCCCGCUGAGGGUAUGCGGCGAAUAAGUAUCGGCUAACUCCGUGCCAGCAGCCGCGGUAAUACGGAGGAUACGAGCGUUAUCCGGAUUUAUUGGGUUUAAAGGGUGCGCAGGCGGACCGUUAAGUCAGGGGUGAAAAGUUGGGGCUCAACUCCAAUCGUGCCUUUGAUACUGGCGGACUAGAGUGCAGGGGACGUGACUGGAAUGUGAUGUGUAGCGGUGAAAUGCUUAGAUAUGUCACAGAACGCCGAUCGUGAAGACAGGUCACGAAUCUGCAACUGA
rnacentral:rRNA from 1 species